rnacentral:lncRNA from 7 species
GACAAGGAAAAAUUCUCAAAGAUUUUAAAUCAAAACACCUUUCCUUAAAGAUAAUCAUAAUUUAGAAGUUUCCACUCAUGAAUAUGUUAAAAAUACAUAAUUAAAGAUACUUAGAUAAUCUAAAUUGCCUUUGGGUUAGGUUAUAAAGAAGAAUCAUGAUUAAACUAUUUCUUAAUAUAUAUAGUCUACAAUAUAAAUUUGGUUUCCCUAGAAGUAAUAAGGUAGGGAUUAUUCUACUAUAUGAUUAAAAGCUUGUCUAAAAGAACUAAAAUAAAUAAAGAAAUACAUAAAAUAGGUUUUGUGCAUUAUGCUAAAGUUCUAUAUGUGUAUCCAAAUUAAGUGUUUGAACUUUAAACUUGUGAUGAUUUGAAAUUCAAAUGGAAAGGAAAAAUA